rnacentral:rRNA from 1 species
GUUGUAUGGUUAAGUGACUAAGCGUACAUGGUGGAUGCCUUGGCAGUCAGAGGCGAUGAAGGACGUACUAACCUGCGAUAAGCCGUGAGCAGUCGGUAAGAGACAUUACGACUCACGGAUUUCCGAAUGGGGAAACCCACUCAGCAUAAGCCCGGUAUCACAUUGACACUCUUUCCCUACACGAGGCGAACCGGGAGAACUGAAACAUCUAAGUACCCCGAGGAAAAGAAAUCAACCGAGAUUCCCUCAGUAGCGGCGAGCGAACGGGGAUUAGCCCUUAAGCAUCUUGGAAGUUAGUGGAACGGUCCUGGAAAGGCCGGCGAUACAGGGUGAUAGCCCCGUACACGAAAACAACCUUGAUGUGAAAUCGAGUAGGGCGGGACACGUGACAUCCUGUCUGAAUAUGGGGGGACCAUCCUCCAAGGCUAAAUACUCCUGACUGACCGAUAGUGAACCAGUACCGUGAGGGAAAGGCGAAAAGAACCCCUGUGAGGGGAGUGAAAUAGAACCUGAAACCGUGUACGUACAAGCAGUGGGAGCCCUUCGGGGUGACUGCGUACCUUUUGUAUAAUGGGUCAGCGACUUACAUUUUGUAGCGAGGUUAACCGUAUAGGGGAGCCGUAGGGAAACCGAGUCUUAACUGGGCGUCUAGUUGCAAGGUGUAGACCCGAAACCGGGUGAUCUAGCCAUGGGCAGGUUGAAGGUUGAGUAACAUCAACUGGAGGACCGAACCCACUAACGUUGCAAAGUUAGGGGAUGACCUGUGGCUGGGGGUGAAAGGCCAAUCAAACUCGGAGAUAGCUGGUUCUCCCCGAAAGCUAUUUAGGUAGCGCCUCGGACGAAUACUACUGGGGGUAGAGCACUGUUUGGGCUAGGGGGUCAUCCCGACUUACCAACCCCAUGCAAACUCCGAAUACCAGUAAGUAAUAUCCGGGAGACACACGGCGGGUGCUAACGUCCGUCGUGAAGAGGGAAACAACCCAGACCGCCGGCUAAGGUCCCAAAGUUCUGGUUAAGUGGGAAACGAUGUGGGAAGGCUCAGACAGCUAGGAUGUUGGCUUAGAAGCAGCCAUCAUUUAAAGAAAGCGUAAUAGCUCACUAGUCGAGUCGGCCUGCGCGGAAGAUGUAACGGGGCUCAAACCAGGCACCGAAGCCGCGGAUUCACACUAAGUGUGAGUGGUAGGGGAGCGUUCUGUAAGUCUGCGAAGGUGUGUCGAGAGGCAUGCUGGAGAUAUCAGAAGUGCGAAUGCUGACGUAAGUAACGAUAAAGGGGGUGAAAAGCCUCCUCGCCGGAAGACCAAGGGUUCCUGUCCAACGUUAAUCGGGGCAGGGUGAGUCGACCCCUAAGGCGAGGCCGAAAGGCGUAGUCGAUGGGAAGCAGGUUAAUAUUCCUGCACGACUUGUAAUUGCGAUGGGGGGACGGAGAAGGCUAGGUGGGCCAGGCGACGGUUGUCCUGGUGAAAGUGCGUAGGUGGUGUUUCUAGGCAAAUCCGGAGACACAACACUGAGACACGAGACGAACGCACACGGUGCGGAAGCCAUUGAUGCCCUGCUUCCAGGAAAAGCCUCUAAGCUUCAGAUUACAAGUCAUCGUACCCCAAACCGACACAGGUGGUCGGGUAGAGAAUACCAAGGCGCUUGAGAGAACUCGGGUGAAGGAACUAGGCAAAAUAGUACCGUAACUUCGGGAGAAGGUACGCUCUUGUUGGUGAAGUCCCUUGCGGAUGGAGCUGACGGGAGUCGCAGUGACCAGAUGGCUGGGACUGUUUAUCAAAAACACAGCACUCUGCAAACACGAAAGUGGACGUAUAGGGUGUGACACCUGCCCGGUGCCGGAAGGUUAAUUGAUGGGGUUAGCGCAAGCGAAGCUCUUGAUCGAAGCCCCGGUAAACGGCGGCCGUAACUAUAACGGUCCUAAGGUAGCGAAAUUCCUUGUCGGGUAAGUUCCGACCUGCACGAAUGGUGUAACCAUGGCCAUGCUGUCUCCACCCGAGACUCAGUGAAAUCGAAUUCGCCGUGAAGAUGCGGUGUACCCGCGGCUAGACGGAAAGACCCCGUGAACCUUUACUACAGCUUGGCACUGAACAUUGAACCUACAUGUGUAGGAUAGGUGGGAGGCUUUGAAGGCGUGACGCCAGUUGCGCUGGAGCCGUCCUUGAAAUACCACCCUUGUAUGUUUGAUGUUCUAACGCAGGGCCCUGAAUCGGGCUCGCGGACAGUGCCUGGUGGGUAGUUUGACUGGGGCGGUCUCCUCCCAAAGAGUAACGGAGGAGCACGAAGGUUGGCUAAUCCUGGUCGGACAUCAGGAGGUUAGUGCAAUGGCAUAAGCCAGCUUAACUGCGAGACGGACAGGUCGAGCAGGUACGAAAGUAGGUCAUAGUGAUCCGGUGGUUCUGAAUGGAAGGGCCAUCGCUCAACGGAUAAAAGGUACUCCGGGGAUAACAGGCUGAUACCGCCCAAGAGUUCAUAUCGACGGCGGUGUUUGGCACCUCGAUGUCGGCUCAUCACAUCCUGGGGCUGAAGUCGGUCCCAAGGGUAUGGCUGUUCGCCAUUUAAAGUGGUACGCGAGCUGGGUUCAGAACGUCGUGAGACAGUUCGGUCCCUAUCUGCCGUGGGCGUUGGAUGAUUGAAGGGAGUUGCUCCUAGUACGAGAGGACCGGAGUGAACGAACCUCUGGUGUUCGGGUUGUCACGCCAGUGGCACUGCCCGGUAGCUAAGUUCGGAAUCGAUAACCGCUGAAAGCAUCUAAGCGGGAAGCGAGCCCUGAGAUGAGUCAUCCCUGACCCCUUGAGGGUCCUAAAGGGCCGUUGGAGACCACAACGUUGAUAGGUGGGGUGUGUAAGCGCGGCGACGUGUUGAGCUAACCCAUACUAAUUACCCGUGAGGCUUAACCAUACAACACCCAAGAAGUGUUC